UACGUAGGGUGCGAGCGUUAAUCGGAAUUACUGGGCGUAAAGCGUGCGCAGGCGGUUUUGUAAGCCAGAUGUGAAAUCCCCGGGCUUAACCUGGGAAUGGCAUUUGGGACUGCAAGGCUGGAGUGUGGCAGAGGAGACUGGAAUUCCUGGUGUAGCAGUGAAAUGCGUAGAUAUCAGGAGGAAAACCGAUGGCGAAGGCAGGUCUCUGGGCUGACACUGACGCUCAUGCACGAAAGCGUGGGGAGCAAACAGG
rnacentral:rRNA from 1 species